GGGAGGCUGAGCUAGCCUGAGCUCCCUGGUGUCUCGGGAUGACCGGCUGAUGACCCUGGGAGGUCAGCGGCGAGGGAUAUCCCGGGAGGUCCGAACGAAGUUCGUCAGUUGGGCUCUGACCCAGGGAAUAAACAGAAGAAGCUACAUCCCUGUGUUGUCGUAUUUAUAAUGAUACGAUAACACAAAUAUAG